rnacentral:rRNA from 1 species
GAUGAACGCUAGCGGCAGGCCUAACACAUGCAAGUCGAGGGAGGAGCUUUCGGGCUUCGACCGGCGUACGGGUGCGUAACGCGUAUACAAUCUGCCUUUCACAUAGGGAUAGCCCGAAGAAAUUUGGAUUAAUACCUAAUGGUAUAUAGAGGUGGCAUCACCUUUAUAUUAAAGCUGAGGCGGUGAAAGGUGAGUAUGCGUUCUAUUAGCUAGUUGGAGAGGUAACGGCUCCCCAAGGCGACGAUAGAUAGGGGUUCUGAGAGGGAUAUCCCCCACACUGGUACUGAGAUACGGACCAGACUCCUACGGGAGGCAGCAGUGAGGAAUAUGGGACAAUGGUCGGAAGACUGAUCCAGCCAUGCCGCGUGCAGGAAGACGGCCUUAUGGGUUGUAAACUGCUUUUGCAGGGGAAGAAUAAGGACUACGCGUAGUUUGAUGACGGUACUCUGCGAAUAAGCAUCGGCUAACUCCGUG